UACGGGGGGAGCAAGCGUUGUUCGGAUUUACUGGGCGUAAAGGGCGCGUAGGCGGCCACCGCAAGUCACUUGUGAAAUCUCCGGGCUUAACCCGGAAAGGUCAACUGAUACUGCGGGGCUAGAGUGCAGAAGGGGCAACUGGAAUUCUCGGUGUAGCGGUGAAAUGCGUAGAUAUCGGGAGGAACACCAGUGGCGAAGGCGGCUUUCUGGCCUGUUCUUGACGCUGAGGCGCGAAAGCUAGGGGAGCAAACGGG
rnacentral:rRNA from 1 species